rnacentral:piRNA from 1 species
UCCACUCCCGACACAAAAGCAUAUUCCAU